rnacentral:rRNA from 1 species
UGCAAGUCGAACGGAUCAGGGGAGCUUGCUUUUCUGGUUAGUGGCGAACGGGUGGGUAACACGUGAGUAACCUGCCCUUCACUCUGGGAUAACUCCGGGAAACCGGGGCUAAUACUGGAUACGACUCGAACAGGCAUCUGUAUCGGGUGGAAAGAUUUAUUGGUGGAGGAUGGACUCGCGGCCUAUCAGCUUGUUGGUGAGGUAAUGGCUCACCAAGGCGACGACGGGUAGCCGGCCUGAGAGGGCGAUCGGCCACACUGGGACUGAGACACGGCCCAGACUCCUACGGGAGGCAGCAGUGGGGAAUAUUGCACAAUGGGCGAAAGCCUGAUGCAGCGACGCCGCGUGAGGGAUGAAGGCCUUCGGGUUGUAAACCUCUUUCAGCAGGGAAGAAGCGAAAGUGACGGUACCUGCAGAAGAAGCACCGGCUAACUACGUGCCAGCAGCCGCGGUAAUACGUAGGGUGCAAGCGUUGUCCGGAAUUAUUGGGCGUAAAGAGCUUGUAGGCGGUUUGUCGCGUCUGCUGUGAAAUUUCGGGGCUCAACCCCGAACUUGCAGUGGGUACGGGCAGACUAGAGUGUGGUAGGGGAGACUGGAAUUCCUGGUGUAGCGGUGAAAUGCGCAGAUAUCAGGAGGAACACCGAUGGCGAAGGCAGGUCUCUGGGCCACUACUGACGCUGAGAAGCGAAAGCAUGGGGAGCGAACAGGAUUAGAUACCCUGGUAGUCCAUGCCGUAAACGUUGGGAACUAGGUGUGGGUCUCAUUCCACGAGAUCCGUGCCGCAGCUAACGCAUUAAGUUCCCCGCCUGGGGAGUACGGCCGCAAGGCUAAAGCUCAAAGGAAUUGACGGGGGCCCGCACAAGCGGCGGAGCAUGCGGAUUAAUUCGAUGCAACGCGAAGAACCUUACCAAGGCUUGACAUGUGCCGGAAAAGU